rnacentral:rRNA from 1 species
AACAAUGAUUUUAGUGGCGGACUGGUGAGUAACACGUAAGCAACCUGCCUAUUAGAGGGGAAUAACAGUGAGAAAUCACUGCUAAUACCGCAUAAGCUGACAAUAUCGCAUGAUAUAGUCAGAAAAGGAGAAAUCCGCUAAUAGAUGGGCUUGCGUCCGAUUAGCUAGUUGGUGGGGUAAAGGCCUACCAAGGCAACGAUCGGUAGCCGAGCUGAGAGGCUCAACGGCCACAUUGGGACUGAGAUACGGCCCAGACUCCUACGGGAGGCAGCAGUCGGGAAUAUUGCACAAUGGAGGAAACUCUGAUGCAGUGACACCGCGUAUAGGAAGAAGGUUUUCGGAUUGUAAACUAUUUUAGACAGGGAAGAAAAAAGACAGUACCUGUAGAAUAAGCUCCGGCUAACUACGUGCCAGCAGCCGCGGUAAUACGUAGGGAGCAAGCGUUAUCCGGAAUUAUUGGGUGUAAAGGGUGCGUAGACGGGACAGCAAGUUAGUUGUGAAAGCCCUCGGCUUAACUGAGGAACUGCAACUAAAACUAUUGUUCUUGAGUGCAGGAGAGGAAAGCGGAAUUCCUAGUGUAGCGGUGAAAUGCGUAGAUAUUAGGAGGAACACCAGUGGCGAAGGCGGCUUUCUGGACUGUAACUGACGUUGAGGCACGAAAGUGUGGGGAGCAAACAGGAUUAGAUACCCUGGUAGUCCACACUGUAAACGAUGGAUACUAGGU